GCGGAAUGUCCUGUCCUGCCACAGGAUUCCUAAAUGUCCUUGUGCAACUCAUGUCAGUCAAGAUGAAAGAGCAGGACAGUUCUGAGAUACAGAUAUAAAUCAGAGCAUGUGCAACUUGAGGUGUCUUCUAUAGACACAGAAAACAGAAGCAGAACAGGAAAAUGGGCAAAUGUUACAACCUGAAGCUGUCACAACAUCUCUCCUGAGAAUUUUGUCUGCCAGACUUGUCACAAUCCAUCACACUGAUUGCUGUGUCAUCUUGCAUCUUGAAUGAGCUGUUCUUGGCAAGAAAAAGCUAAACUUUCUUCCAGGGCUUUGCAGCCCCUUUCCCUGCAACAGUGACAAAGAGAUGGUGCCAUUUAUCUGGGCCUUCCACAAGUGAGGAAUGUCCCUACCUUUCUUUCACACUGAGACUCAGAAAACAGCAAGUGUUUAGUUAAGCAGUAAAGAUGUACAGCUGAGGCCUUGGUGUCUCUGCCAUAUCAUACAUCAAUUUCUGAUUGCCGGUUUGUAAAGUGGCACCUUUCCACUCUGCCCUUUCUCCUUGCUCUGGGAAGAAAAGAUCUGGCACGUGGGGUUGAAGAACCAGACGGUGAUGGGCCAGAUAUGUUUGCCCUGCAUGAGACAGAACUGGGAGCAAACAUGUGGAGAGGACAGGUGAUGUGUAAGACAUGGCACGGCCAUGAUGAGGAAAGCAAAGACAGUGAGGAAGCCAGGAGCACUGCUAUCCUUUUUGGUUAACUAUUUGCUUUUACAACAAGCUUAUUUUCCCUUGCUGGUGUGCUAGCAAAUGAUACACAUCCAUUCUCCCCUACAGCUGUCUUUAAAGAAGGAAAGAAAACUAUCCUUUUCUACAUAUGGAAAAAUUAAUAUACUCUAGGAAAGGCAGCUCUGCCACUGUCGCAUCAGUACUUGGAGCAAUCACACCAUACAUGCACAGAACAUAUGGAUGCACUAGGUAAUCCUUGUAACUGUUUUAAUAUUACAAGACCACAGGGAACCGAGCUUUGCAGUUGAACAGCAUGGAGCAAAUCAAUAAAAAUUUCAAUGUGAAUUGCAUAUCUAAAGGCUAAAAGGCUAACGCCUUGUGCCAAGAUACAGAGCAGUGGCAGAGGAUGGAAAAUUACUUACUUUAAUUAGUUUAAAAAGUAAAGAGGAAGGUUAUGAAGAUUUCUGGAUGAUUCAUAAAUGCUAUGCUUCUUUUAAUCUAGUCAUUACAGGAUUGAAAAAUGAACUCCAUAGGAAUUUUCCUUUAUGCUCUGAAAAUUGGUGAUUUUUUUUACAGCUAUUUCAACUAUCAAAGCAAUCCCUGAUUUACUGACCUGGAACUAUCUUCUGCCUUAUUAAGAAACAAUGUCUGAGACUGAUUGCUGUUGCUGAUACAAUUAUUAACUGACAGCAGAAAAGCUGGCGAGAGAAAGGAAUCCUGGCUGUUUAGAUUAUAUGGGCCUCUUUCCAGAUUAUCCAGUGCAUCUGGAUUGGACACAUCUCAUACACUCAUACUUUCUCACCAGAAACUUCUUUCUCUUUACCCUUCUCCUUCCACAUUCAGCCCAUUUCUUUUGGAUAUCAGGCAGCAAUAUGCCAGUGAAGAUAUUCCAAGUCUCAUUCAAAACAACUGAGCAGGUUCACCUGAAACUUUCUAAAGCAUUUAGCCAGAGCUACACACCUGGCAUGGAAAAGUAGCCGAGUGUAUAGAAAGCUGCUAAUUGUAUAAUGGAAAACAUCUAUCCCCUAGCACACCAUCUGCUUUCCCAAAAGUGACAGAACCAGUCACCAUGAUUUGCUUUCUGUCCAAGGUCAUUGUAGCUCUUUUUCUUUGAAAAGCAUAUGUCAACAAGUGGCAUUUCUAAUUACACCUCAGCCUCUUUGAAUACAUUUGUUUCACUGAGAUCUUAAGAAGAGGAUCUGCAGUGAGAUAUGUCUGGGAAGUCAGUAACAACAUACAGAUAAGAAGUGCUAGACUAAGCAAAUGAAGUUACAAUUUUAGAACCUCAUUACUGGUAAGUUUGUGCAUAUUUGUACCAUGCUGAAAGAGGUUCAGUCAGAUGGAGCAGGCACAUUUGGGGGCAAUAGAGACGUAAAUGACAUACUAAAUUUUGUCCCUAAAUUAGAUUUUCUGCUAAAAUCUAGGUACCUUCUCUGUGGCACUAGGGAGUCAAGAAGAAACAAGAUGGAUGCUGUCAGAUGCAUAAUAUAAUCCUAGCAGUCCUGACACUUUGGAAGACUUGGAGAUUUCCCUGUAGCCUGUUCUCCUUCUUUUCUUUUGUGGUUUCUGCUACCUUUCCUUACCUCAAGCUCUUGGGACCCAUUCCAGGUGUUGGUAGAACAUUCCUUUAUCCUGACUGUAUGCGAGAUGAAGGAGAAAAUGCCCUAUACACAGGACUGAAUUCUGUGUACUGAAUCAGGGGGAACUGCACAACUGAUUUUCCAGAACUGUUGGCAAAUGAAGGUAAAAUUAAAAGUUCUGUGCAGAUCUGAAUGUCUCAACAAGUGAGGACAUCAUCAUUUGCCUGUCUGAAGCAAGUUUUCAUGUCUUACCUUGCUGUGCUGUGAAUGUGUUUUCUUGUGCAGUAAUUCUCACAACACUGCUUGAUAAUUUCUAACAGAGCAGGAGUAAUAGCCUGGAAAAACCUCCACAAACUGAAAUGCAGGUGAGAACAGCAUGUCUCAAGUGCUGGUCUCAUUCUGAUUUCUGAAACACUAAAAAAAAGUUUGGUGCCUUUUUUUUUUUUUUUCUUUUAACUGUGAUAUGCUAUUUGGGCUCAAAUUGCACUUCACUGACAAUCCAAGACCAAGUCUCAGAAGGAUAACAAUUCACUUUCUUUCCACCUGCUGUCCCUGGGACUCAGCAGCCAGGUUAUAAGCAAAGUUAUGAUUUUAUCUAUUUGUCCCUGCUAGCGGUGGUAAAAAUCUGUUAAUCUAAAGGCAGUUAUCACAGCCAUAUAAUUUCAACUUCUCAAUUUUUAGAGAGGAGAGUGAAAUCUUUGCUGAAGGACUACAUAGCUCAUGGUUUUACCAGUUUGGCUUUACCACAGAGCAGAAUCUGGCCAUUCAACCUUAAGAAAUUCGGGUGUGGACAACUACUAGACUAGACUCUACUGCCCCAGUCUCAGUCUGUCCUGGCCUCACCCCCUGGUGAUUUUUACUCUCCUUCUGGUGAUUUUUUGAUUAACUAUAUUCCUCCCCCUAAAUGGACAAAUUAAUAAAAGAAAGAUAAUAUAAUAAUAAGAUACAAAGAAAAGGGAAAAUUUAUUGUAACAAGAGCUACCAAUUAUUUUGUGGUUUUGGGAAUGUAACGACUGCACAUCAAGCGCACAGUUCAAACUUCUUGCACCUCCUCAUCUAGGGUCAGGUGAUAUUUAUCCCUUUUCUCAUGGAAAAUAUCACCUGUGCUGAAAGAUAGGAAGCUAGGAACUGCUGCAAUAGCUCACCAAAUGUAUGAUUAGUAGCAAUUCUUUACCUUGACAACAGGAUGAGAAAGAAAAAUCAUCUGUGUGGGUAAGAUAAACCUCUGGAAGCAACAGUAUGCUGAGGCAUCAGCAUCUUCAGUCUCCCUCCUACCAGCAAUGUAAAAGUGCAGACUGCAAACCUUCUGCUCAAUGAAUUACUAGGAAAAUCUAUAGCUUGCUCCAUCUUUGUACUUUAUUUCACCUAUAAUCAUAAAAAAUUUAUAAGUAUUCAACAUGUCAAAAAUUGUGCUCAGGUAUACUGUAUUAAAACAUCUCCUUUUUAUCUCCCUGGAUUUUCACAAACAGCCCUCCAGCUCACUAAAUUAGGGAACCUGAAAGGCUAAUCUCAAACACAUGAUCACUCACAGGUUUACAUUAUCAGCUGCUCACAUGCUUAAUUAUACGUUUCUUAUUGCUUUUCGAGCUUAAAAUAUCUCUGAAAUUAUAAAAACACAUAAAAGACGGAGCCAUCUAUUUCUGCAAGAACUGGGUUGAAAACUGACUGCAUGACACAUGAACCACCUAUUUUGGAAAGACAUUAUCAGAAAAUGACACAGAAGAAUGUGUUUUAAAGAAAAAGCAUAAUUUCAGAAAUCCCUCAUUGUUUAAGUAGCAACAAAACCAACAAACUAACAAAACAAAAUCCCAAGUGAACACAAAAGAAAGGGAAAAAAAUAUAGGCAUUUAGACUACAGAAAGUAGUUUUGAUUCUGAAUUUCAUUUUUUUUCUGCCCACACUGAAAAAAGGUUAUGCAACUUUUUCAGAAAAAAAUCUGAAGAUUGUGCAUUAAGAGUUCUCAAUGUGUUUAUGUAGCAACAGUGAAGUUACUUCUGGCAGAACUGGCUGAGCCUGAAUCAGCUAAUCUCAGAUAUUUCUGGAGAGCACAAGAAGGAAUAAAACUCUAUUCUUGUCCUGA